AGGAGAGUGUCAGUAAAAUGUGCUGAGUGUAAAGUUGUCAGUCGGGGAAUAACACAGGGCUGUGAAUGAGCCCUGUCACUGUGAUCGGGCUCCUCCUUCUGAUCCACCAACUUAGUGUUGAUGAAGACUCAACAGAGAUCACAGCCUUCUUUAUACUCGCUGUAGCUCACAGUUACUCAACACUGCAGACAUGACGCCUCUGUUCAUCUCGGUGUUGCUGGCUGCUGUGUGCCUUGAAUGCAGAGCACAAAAAGACAACGUGCUGCAAGCAAAAGAAGAUGUGACUACCACUGAAGGAGAGGCAGUAACACUUGGCUGUCAAUAUAACAGCAGUUUAACAAGUCCAAAUCUCUUCUGGUACAAACAGGAUGGAGACAACAGCCCAAAAUUCAUACUGAGCCGCUUUAAACUGGACGAAGGGAACACACCAGACGAGUUUAAGGAGAGAUUUUCAUCCACACUGGAUUCCACCUUAAGAUCAGUUCCUCUGAAGAUCCAGAAGCUUCAGCUGUCUGACUCUGCUGUGUACUACUGUGCUCUGCAGCCCACAGUGACAGGAAACACCAAGACUCUGUACAAAAACCUUUGGAGCAAAGACAACAGAAUACUCCACAACGUCCACUAGAGGGAGUCACACACUGUUAACCUUCAGUGAUAUGUGAUGAUACAGUCUAGAAUCAUGAACACCUCCUCCACAAGAUGUUCCCUCAGUUAUAUAUACAGCCUUUAUUUAAUCAGGUUGUCUCACUGAGAUCAGACAGACCUGAG